AUUGAACGCUGGCGGCAUGCUUUACACAUGCAAGUCGAACGGUAACAGGGUGCUUGCACCGCUGACGAGUGGCGAACGGGUGAGUAAUGCGUCGGAACGUGCCGAGUAGUGGGGGAUAACGCAGCGAAAGUUGUGCUAAUACCGCAUACGUACUGAGGUAGAAAGUGGGGGACCUUCGGGCCUCACGCUAUUCGAGCGGCCGACGUCUGAUUAGCUAGUAGGUGAGGUAAAGGCUCACCUAGGCGACGAUCAGUAGCGGGUCUGAGAGGAUGAUCCGCCGCACUGGGACUGAGACACGGCCCAGACUCCUACGGGAGGCAGCAGUGGGGAAUUUUGGACAAUGGGCGAAAGCCUGAUCCAGCCAUGCCGCGUGUCUGAAGAAGGCCUUCGGGUUGUAAAGGACUUUUGUCAGGGAGGAAAUCCCUAGUGCUAAUAACACUGGGGGAUGACAGUACCUGAAGAGUAAGCACCGGCUAACUACGUGCCAGCAGCCGCCGUAA
rnacentral:rRNA from 1 species